rnacentral:rRNA from 1 species
CUAGAUUAUUAAAGGUACCGCCUGCCCAGUGAUAUUAAACGGCCGCGGGAUCCUCCACCGUGCAAAGGUAGCAUAAUCACUUGUCCCCUAAAUAGUGACUAGUAUGAACGGCCAAAUGAAGAUUUUACUGUCUCUUAUAGCUGAUCUGUGAAACUAAACAAUCAGUACAAAAGCUGAUAUUAAUACAUAAGACGAAAAGACCCUGUGGAACUUUAAGCGCAAAUCACCUAAUGACACCACCGCUUUUAGUUGGGGCAACUCUGGAAAUAAACAAAACUUCCAAUCAUAAAACAAGAUAAACACAUCUACACAGCCUUUUUAGACCCAGCCCAAGCUGAUCAAAGAACCAAGCUACCCCAGGGAUAACAGCGCUAUCCCCUCCUAGAGCCCAAAUCGACGAGCGGGGUUUACGACCUCGAUGUUGGAUCCGGGCCCCCAAACAGUGCAACCGCUGUUAAAGGUUUGUUUGUUCAACAAUUAAUGCCCUACGUGAUCUGAGUUA